rnacentral:lncRNA from 1 species
AUGACUGACCCUCUCCCCGCCCCCUACCCUCAUGUAGGUCCUCCUGAAACGCCAACAUUUUGUCUCUCUUUGCACCCUUUGCCCUUUUGCCCUUUGCCCACUCUCUGCUCUUCCUCUUUUUGCUCUGCUUUCUCCCUCCAGCCUCUGGCUCCAUACUCUCUUUUUCACUUUCCUUUGUUCCUUAGAGACUUCCUCUUCCUGGUCUCCCUUUCUUUUCUUCCGGUCUCUUCUUCUUUCCUACCAGAGAUCUCUUCCCACUUCUCCACUCCCUCUUUUCUGCUCUCUGACUCAAUCCCUCUUUCUCUCUCCUCUGCCUUCCAGAAUCCCUUUUACAGGCAAAGGCUCUGCUCCCGGAGCCCUUCCUGUGGGAAGAGAGCCAUGUCCCAUCAGUUACACAGGCUCCCUGGAAUGCUGGGCCCAGCCCCUGGAUGCUCCAUGUUGGGUGAUUUCGCUGAGAAAACUGGGGGUGGGAGGAGUCAUUUCUGUCCUUAAAUUUGCUGUGGCCUCCAAUAUGCCUUCUGUGCCCUCAUUUUCUGGUGGCAUCUAGAGCUGGCCUCUCAUGGUAUCAGUGUCCAGUGUAUGGAAGACCCUCAUGGACCCACAGCAAGAAUGAAGCUCUGAGGGGCCCUGCAUAGGAGGACGGGGAAGUGUGGCCUGCGUGAUGUCUGGGGUGAGUGUGACCGCAGAGCUGGACUGUGUCAGCCAGGGAGGUGACGAAGCCAGCAGGGCACCUCUGGCUGGAUUCUGUCCCCCUGCCUACUUCUCUGUGUCCAAGUGUCCAACGUCUGGAUUGUCUGGCUCUGAUUCACUUUCCUUCAUCAUCACUAUAGCUGGUUCCGCGUUCUCCACAUUCCUAAGUCUCCUUCAUAGUUCUCUUUGGACACAUCCUGUUCUUAUUUUACCCUGGCUGGUAUAGGAAUCUUGGCUUCUCCCAUGUGGCCAAGUAGUCCUUGGCAAUCAGUGCCUGGUGGUGUGAUGUGGAAAAAUAGAAACUCUUCCCUCUCCUGAAAGAACAUCCUGGAGACGAGAUCCAUGUGCAUAAAAUAAUUAGAAAAAGCAAAGCUAGGUGUGGUGGUACAUGCCUGUAAUCCGAGCACUGGGGAGGCUGAAGCAGGAGGAUUAUCUCAAGUUCAGGGCUAGCCUUGAAUUUGGGCUGCAUAGUGAGUUCAAGGCCAGUCUGAACUACAUAGUGAGACCCUGUCUCAGAAAUCCAAAUUUUUUAAAAAGAAAAAUAAAUAAUUAUAAGAAAGCAUAUAACUCCCAGUAUGCUAAAUUUCAGGCUUGAGGUAUCAGGGUGGAGUCUCGGGGAUUGUGGAAUUUGGAGGGAAGGCUUCCUCGUGUUGGGCAGAGAAGCAGGGGCGCCAGUAUGGACAAGGUGGGCUGGAAGGUGCAAAGAGGAGCUCAUGUCCCCUCUUGCAUCCGCGUCCCCAUCUUGAGGGAGCAGUCUCUGCCCUUGCUGCCUUGCUUCCCGUGAGCAUCCGCUCUUUCCAGCCCCUCCCAC